GACCCAGUGUGGCAUUGUGGUUUCGGUGUUAGGUUAUGACUCUAGAGACCAGGGUUCAAAUCCUUGCUGAGCCA